CCUACGGGAGGCAGCAGUGAGGAAUAUUGGUCAAUGGACGAGAGUCUGAACCAGCCAAGUAGCGUGAAGGAUGACUGCCCUAUGGGUUGUAAACUUCUUUUAUAUGGGAAUAAAACGUUCCACGUGUGGGAUUUUGUAUGUACCCUAUGAAUAAGGAUCGGCUAACUCCGUGCCAGCAGCCGCGGUAAUACGGAGGAUCCGAGCGUUAUCCGGAUUUAUUGGGUUUAAAGGGAGCGUAGGUGGAUUGGUAAGUCAGUUGUGAAAGUUUGCGGCUCAACCGUAAAAUUGCAGUUGAAACUGGCAGUCUUGAGUACAGGAGAGGUAGGCGGAAUUCGUGGUGUAGCGGUGAAAUGCUUAGAUAUCACGAAGAACUCCGAUUGCGAAGGCAGUUCACUGGACUGCAACUGACACUGAGGCUCGAAAGUGUGGGUAUCAAACAGGAUUAGAUACCCUUGUAGUC
rnacentral:rRNA from 1 species